rnacentral:lncRNA from 10 species
UGCUCACCUGCCCCUCCUCCUCUCCACCUCUCACCACGCCGUCACCACAGAGACCUAGACGACGCAUCCGAUCAGACAAGCUUGGAAAACCCCCUAGAACUCAGACAGAGUGAAGAAAUGAAGACGCCGAGAAGACAGACUGGAGGCGCAUGGAAUAAGCAAGAUAAAGUUCCAGGAGGAUAGGAUUCGGGCAUCGGUGCACAGCGGGUCUCGUCGGGUGGGAAUCCAUGGUCUGAGAUGAGAUGCUGGGAAAAGGGCUUCCCAAGCUGAGUAAAGGUCGUAAAGGAGUCACAGGGCACCAGGAAAGAUGAAUCGAAUGCCCCACCUGCAUUUAUUCUGGUGAAAUGUUUGAAUGAAGAGGAAAAUGUUCAUCCAUGUUGUCACAUAUAACAGGAUUCUCUUCCUUUUUAAGACUGAACCGUCCCGGUGUACAUAAGACAUUACGCGAAGGGAAACCGGUCAGCCACAGGACAUAUUCUACGUGAUUCUGAUCAUAUGAGGCACCUCAAGUAGCGAAGCUCUUAGACACAGGAAGCGGAAUGGUGGCUGCCAGGAACUGGGGGAGUUCCAUGCGGUGGACAAUGAUAUAAUGAUUUUCCCGUGUGAGAAAAAAGACAACUGCCUGUGCAACCUCAGACUGGUGCCACACUUGUUAUUCUUGUUAUUGACUUCGCAGCCAGUGAUGAUCUCAAAACAAUGCUGUUGACAGCACACGUCAGAAACAUUGAGAAGAGGAACAGACCCAAGCAUGAAUGAGGAUUCAUUUUCAUAUCUGGAUCUCCAAGCACUUCAGUUAAAGGUGAAGAGCCGCCUUCUCCCAGGUGUUGCAGUAGAUCAGGAGCUGCACUGUCAGAAGGGAUGGGCACCACGCGGAGACUGUCCACUCCCUGCAGUGCACAGCACGAUGAAGACUUACUGAAUUGCACCUAAACAUAUCAACAACCCACUGAUAAAGCUUGGACAUUUGUCCCCUUCAAACCUCGUGUUGAAAUUUCAUCGCCAAUGUUGGAGCCCAUCUUGGUGAAGACAGCCUGUCUGUCCACAGGGAGAACCAGGAGAAGCCCAAGUGGUCUUGACUCUGACUCGCUCCAGGCGUCUCCUGUUGAUCAAUGCCACAGUCCUCCUCCAGGUGCCCUACCUGCAGUUUGGCAGGCUCGAUUCUCUCUCUCUGGGAUCUCGUAUAUUCUCCUGACACUGACCUUCACAGGCUCCCACAGUGACUCCUGGCCACCACCGUCUGGCUCUCUGAGCCAUCUCCACUGGUCAGAGGCACCCCCCCAGCACCCACCCCAACCCUGUGUUAAAUCAAAGACCCCCACAGUGCUCUGUUUCUAACAAAGUUUCUUCUAGGAAAGCACUUCUUAGAUUUAUAAUUUUGUAUGUAAUAUUGUGAAGUCAGGAAGAAAAUGUGAAGAGUUCAAGCAUCUUUUCUGGAUCAUCCGAGGAAAACAGUUCAAGAUUUCCAAUAAUAGUAAAAACAUCAAACAGAUAUCUCAGAGGUUUCUAUGAACCAGACAAUGAAGAAUGGUAGAAUAAACCACUCCUGCCAACCCUUCAGCUAAGAAGUAGAAAAGCUGGACCAAAAAACCUGUUGGAAGACAUCAGACAGCUAACAAAGCAAAGAAACAUUGUAAGGCACAGAUCCAGGAAAAGAAAGAAACUCAGCCCAGCUUUUCUCCAGGGUCAAAUUCCAGAAGAAAAGGCUAAGAAACUGAGCAGGGCUUUAGAUUCACCCCUGUGAAGAGGACAAAUUAGAGUCUGCCAAGGAGGGAGUUUUUGGGAAAUCUGAAGAUUAUGGAGUAUGAGUGAACCAGAAAUAAAUAAUUCUGGCAAGGAUGACACCCAAUUUUAUCUCAAAUCCUGAUAGGGUAAAGAUAGCCUGGGAUUGCUAACACCUUCCAGAAAUAAAUGUAAGUCUUCUCUGAAAAAACAAUAUCCUAUAUCUCAAUUAUCUUUCCAAUUUUUCCUAUACCAUAUCUGGAAAACAAUGAAAAGUAACCAGGUUUAUGAGAAGACAAGAAAAAAAUAAGUGAUCAAAACCAAGGGAAACAACAGACAGAAAAAAUGAACCCAAAGAGGAUUCAGAUAAUGGAGAAAUCAGACAUAAAAUUUAAAAUAAUUAUUACUAAUACACUUAAGUAAUGAAAGACAAGAUGAAAAAUUUUGGCAAAGAACCUGAAAUUUUUUAAAAAUAGAAAUUAUAGAAAUGACCAAAUACAAUCAACACAAGGAAACAAUGGAUGUAUUUAAUCAUAGACACAGCUAAAGAGAAAAUUAGAUAACUUAUAGAGCAGAAGAAAAUCUCUAAACUGAAACACAGAGAAGGAAAAGGAAGAUAAAGGAAAAAGAAUAUAAGACAAGGUGAACAUAUCUAAGAUAUAAAUGGGUCCCCAGAAGAAGAGAAGAGAGAAAAUGUGGCAGAACUUCAGCAAAUACAGGACGUAUUUGAUUGCAUAGGAUCUCCAAAAAGUCUGAAAGCAUAGACAAUGUAUACAAUGUUUUCAAGGACAUUUAAUCCGUAAAAACCAAAAUAUAUCUUCAUUUUCAAGCCAAUGGAUACCCUAUAGAUUUAAGGCUAUCAACCACAAAAAGCAGUGGAAAUAAGAGCAAAAAAACAGUAUAUAAGUUAUAUCCUUUGACAAAGUAGAAAACCACUGGGAGAAAAACGAGAAUAAGUUCAUUGCCUGAUUUACAGGUAAAAAUAGGUGAUAAUAGGUGGGAAUCAAAACAUAUAAUUAAGAGUCACAAACCAAC